CGGCGGACAUUUCCGACUGCUAGUACAAUUACGCAGUGGAUUUAUUAGGCAUACAAGUUCAGAGUUCAGCUACUUACCUCAAGCGAAGUUAUCUUGACGGAAACGGCGAGAAAGACAAAAAACUGCUUCUUUUUGUACCUGUUUGGCUGGUGGUGUCAUUGCUCAUUAAGAGAUUAAAAGCAGUUUUUUAGAUGAAACAAUAUUCACUAUCACAAAUAAAAGGUUUUAAAGAA